rnacentral:lncRNA from 1 species
GGCGAGGAGGGCGGGGUUGCACUGGCGAGGGCGAGGGCGUGCGGGGCGGAGGUGAGGCGGGUUGUUUCUGCCUCCGCCUCCGCCAUCGCUGCGUUCUUUAGAGAGAGAAAAAAAAAGAACGAGCGGAAAAAAAAAGAGGAGAGAGAAAAAGCCUCCACCUCUGCCAUCGCUGUGUUCUUUAGAGAGAGAAAAUAAAAGAAGCGUUCUUUAGGAAGAGAAAAAAAAAGAACGAGAGAAAAAAAAAGAAAGAAAAAGUAAUUAGGGUAUUUUGGUCAAUUUGCUGAAAAUCUGGUCUGCAAAAAUAAAAAAGAUGAUCCGAUUUUACAAAAGUUUAAAAUAAGUUGAUUUGUUAUGCAAAUUGGCCUGUAAAAUAUGCAGGGUUAUUUGGGGGCUAAAAACAAAAAAAAAUU